GACGAACGCUGGCGGCGUGCCUAAUACAUGCAAGUAGAACGCUGAAGGAGGAGCUUGCUUCUCUGGAUGAGUUGCGAACGGGUGAGUAACGCGUAGGUAACCUGCCUGGUAGCGGGGGAUAACUAUUGGAAACGAUAGCUAAUACCGCAUAAGAGUAGAUGUUGCAUGACAUUUGCUUAAAAGGUGCAAUUGCAUCACUACCAGAUGGACCUGCGUUGUAUUAGCUAGUUGGUGGGGUAACGGCUUACCAAGGCGACGAUACAUAGCCGACCUGAGAGGGUGAUCGGCCACACUGGGACUGAGACACGGCCCAGACUCCUACGGGAGGCAGCAGUAGGGAAUCUUCGGCAAAGGACGGAAGUCUGACCGAGCAACGCCGCGUGAGUGAAGAAGGUUUUCGGAUCGUAAAGCUCUGUUGUAAGAGAAGAACGAGUGUGAGAGUGGAAAGUUCACACUGUGACGGUAUCUUACCAGAAAGGGACGGCUAACUACGU
rnacentral:rRNA from 1 species